rnacentral:rRNA from 1 species
UCCUCCCUCUGGCGGCGUGCUUAACACAUGCAAGUCGAACGGAAAGGCCUGCUUUCCCUUGUGGAUUGCGGGUACUCGAGUGGCGAACGGGGGAGUAACACGUGAGUGAUCUGCCCCCAACUUGGGUAUAAGCCUGGGAAACUGGGUCUAAUUCCCGAUAGGACUGCAGGGUGGUGCCUGUGGUGGAAAACGAUUUUCUAGUGGUUGGGGAUGAGCUCGCGGCCUAUCAGCUUGUUGGUGGGGUAAUGGCCUACCAAGGCGGCGACGGGUAGCCGGCCUGGGAGGGUGGACGGCCACAUUGGGACUGAGAUACGGCCCAGACUCCUACGGGAGGCAGCAGUGGGGAAUAUUGCACAAUGGGCGGAAGCCUGAUGCAGCGACGCCGCGGGGGGGAUGACGGCCUUCGGGUUGUAAACUCCUUUCGACCGCGAGGAAGCCACCUGGUUGGAAGGGUGGUGACGGUAGUGGUAGAAGAAGCACCGGCUAACUACGUG